UACGUAGGGUGCGAGCGUUGUCCGGAAUUAUUGGGCGUAAAGAGCUCGUAGGCGGUCUGUCGCGUCGAUCGUGAAAACUUGGGGCUUAACCCUGAGCUUGCGGUCGAUACGGGCAUGACUGGAGUUCGGCAGGGGAGACUGGAAUUCCUGGUGUAGCGGUGAAAUGCGCAGAUAUCAGGAGGAACACCGAUGGCGAAGGCAGGUCUCUGGGCAUUAACUGACGCUGAGGAGCGAAAGCAUGGGGAGCGAACAGG
rnacentral:rRNA from 1 species